rnacentral:rRNA from 1 species
UGGGGAAUCUUGCACAAUGGGGGCAACCCUGAUGCAGCGACGCCGCGUGAGCGAUGAAGCCCUUCGGGGCGUAAAGCUCUUUCGACCGGAACGAUAAUGACGGUACCGGGAGAAGAAGCUGCGGCUAACUACGUGCCAGCAGCCGCGGUAAUACGUAGGCAGCAAGCGUUGUUCGGAGUUACUGGGCGUAAAGAGUGCGUAGGCGGUUUACUAAGUUCGGUGUGAAAUCUCCCGGCUGAACUGGGAGGGUGCGCCGAAGACUGGGAAGCUGGAGUGUGGGAAAGGCAGGCGGAAUUCCUGGUGUAGCGGUGAAAUGCGUAGAUAUCAGGAGGAACACCGGCGGUGUAGACGGCUUGCUAGACCAUAACUGACGCUGAGGCACGAAAGCGUGGGUAGCAAAC